CUGCAUUGUUAGUAACAGAUGCAGGCACAGCUGGAGAGUCCCUUACCUCUAUGAAAAUCCCACCACUAGGGGCAGCAACUGGCACAGAUGCUCAGGGUGGAUGGACAGGAUUGAUAGCUUGCAGAACAUCAGUUACCUGCAUGAGCUGCUCCACUACACUGAGCCAGAACACCCUGGACCUUGGGAUUUAACUUCUCCAGAUUACUGCAGCCCGGCUGAUGUUCGGUCUGCACCAGUUUUUCCAUUUUACCCCACUGUUAGGACACUCCACUGGCUCCCAGCUCGCAUCCACUAGCUGAGCUGCGAGGGGAACUGCCCUGCCUACCUUCAGGCAAUGAUCAAACCCUUCAUCCCUAUCAAGGCUCUUCAUCCUCCCACAUCUGAUCUCUUGGCUGUAGCCUGUUUGUUCCAUCUCACAGAAAGGAUAACCACCAGCCAAAUACAGCACAUAAUAACCCUGAAAAUGUUUAUUGUUUAUGAAAUGAAAACCCAUUUUUAUGAAAUGGGUGCAGUUCAAAUUAUUCUUUUAAAAUUGGGAUUUUAUCCUAAUUUACAUUUUUGCAAACCUGGUUGAAAUUAAAAGCA
ensembl:lncRNA